rnacentral:miRNA from 1 species
UGGCCGGGUAUUGUUGCUGC